CUACGGGCGGCAGCAGUGGGGAAUUUUGCGCAAUGGGGGAAACCCUGACGCAGCAACGCCGCGUGAAGGAUGAAGGCCUUUGGGUCGUAAACUUCUGUCAGAGGGAAAGAAAUACUCGCAAGAGAGAUGACGGUACCCUCAAAGGAAGCACCGGCUAACUCCGUGCCAGGAGCCGCGGUAAUACGGAGGGUGCAAGCGUUGUUCGGAAUUAUUGGGCGUAAAGCGCAUGUAGGCGGUCUGUUAAGUCUGGUGUGAAAGCCCGGGGCUCAACCCCGGAAGUGCAUUGGAUACUGGCAGACUUGAGUAUGGGAGAGGAAAGUGGAAUUCCGAGUGUAGGAGUGAAAUCCGUAGAUAUUCGGAGGAACACCAGUGGCGAAGGCGGCUUUUUGGACCAAUACUGACGCUGGGAUGCGAAAGCGUGGGGAGCAAACAGGAUUAGAUACCCCCGUAGUC
rnacentral:rRNA from 1 species